CCCAAGUCUAGGAGUUAUUGGGCCUAAGCAUCCGUAGCCGGCUUUACAAGUCUCCGGUUAAAUCCAGCUGCCUAACAGAUGGGCUGCCGGAGAUACUAUAAAGCUAGGGAGCGGGAGAGGCAGACGGUAUUCGGUGGGUAGGGGUAAAAUCCUCUGAUCCAUUGAGGACCACCAGUGGCGAAGGCGGUCUACCAGAACACGUUCGACGGUGAGGGAUGAAAGCUGGGGGAGCAAACCGGAUUAGAUACCCGGGUAGUCCCAGCUGUAAACGAUGCAGACUCGGUGAUGCACUGGCUUUUGGCCAGUGCAGUGCCGCAGGGAAGCCGUUAAGUUUGCCGCCUGGGAAGUACGUACGCAAGUAUGAAACUUAAAGGAAUUGGCGGGGGAGCAC
rnacentral:rRNA from 1 species